rnacentral:rRNA from 1 species
CCUGGCGGCCGUAGCGCGGUGGUCCCACCUGACCCCAUGCCGAACUCAGAAGUGAAACGCCGUAGCGCCAAUGGUAGUGUGGGGUCUCCCCAUGUGAGAGUAGGGAACCGCCAGGU